GGUGUGUUUGGUCGACAUCUUCACAGGAGCAAAAAGGGGUUCUUCCAAGUGAACCCUAAACUCACAAAUUGGAUCAAAAUCAAGGGAAAUCAAGCCAAGAUUUUGGGGCUUUAACUAAAUUCGUGAUCACCAAGCUUAGGAGAUCACAAGUUGACUCUAAACAAGCUAGGUGGGAGCUUGGAAAGGAACGGGUCAAACGGAUCAUGGAUGCGAAGAAUGUUUGCGCGGAUGCGAGGGUAAAACGACUUAUGGAAUUUACGUGGCUAUGAAUCAGCAAAUUAUUAAGGCAAGGUAUUAAAACGGGUCAAUACUUUGACCCGGGCCAGGUACGCGUAAAUUUGGUGGAAGAUAUGUGAAUACCUUAAUGUAGAAAAAUGACAUGUGAAAGUAGAGAGUGAGAUUUAAACUUAAAUGAUUAAAUCCUCUCUAACGGGUCAAAAUGAAUUACGCGCGUAACUUGGGUGUUCGCCGCGUAAUUCACAAAACUUAUGAAUCCAAGAUAGGUAUUUUGAGUUAAAUACCUUGGUCUAAGAAUUUUGAUUAACUAGAAACAAG